GUGGGGAAUAUUGGGCAAUGGGGGAAACCCUGACCCAGCGACGCCGCGUGGGUGAUGAAGGCCUUCGGGUCGUAAAGCCUUGUCAAGAGGAAAGAAUGUCUUCGAAGUAAAUAGCUUCGGGGAGUGACGGUACCUCUGAAGGAAGCACCGGCCAACUCCGUGCCAGCAGCCGCGGUAAGACGGAGGGUGCAAGCGUUGCUCGGAAUCAUUGGGCGUAAAGGGUGCGUAGGCGGUUUUUUAAGUCUGACGUGAAAGCCCAGGGCCUAGCCUUGGAAGCGCGCCAGAAACUGGAAGACUAGAGUGCCGGAGGGGAGAGUGGAAUUCCUGGUGUAGCGGUGAAAUGCGUAGAUAUCAGGAGGAAUACCGGUGGCGAAAGCGACUCUCUGGACGGCAACUGACGCUGAGGCACGAAAGCGUGGGGAGCAAACAGGAUUAGAUACCCGUGUAGUCC
rnacentral:rRNA from 1 species